rnacentral:pre_miRNA from 1 species
GCGAAUACCUGUAACACUGCAGCAUCUACAUAAACUGAGCAAUAAUGUAAAUGCCAGUUGUUGCGGGCAUUCG